CACGUAGGGCGCGAGCGUUGUCCGGAAUUAUUGGGCGUAAAGAGCUCGUAGGCGGCCUGUUGCGUCCGCUGUGAAAGCCCGGGGCUUAACCCCGGGUCGGCAGUGGAUACGGGCAGGCUAGAGGUAGGUAGGGGAGAAUGGAAUUCCCGGUGUAGCGGUGAAAUGCGCAGAUAUCGGGAAGAACACCGGUGGCGAAGGCGGCUCUCUGGACCGAGACUGACGCUGAGGCGCGAAAGCGUGGGGAGCAAACAGGG
rnacentral:rRNA from 1 species